rnacentral:rRNA from 1 species
AUUGAACGCUGGCGGCAGGCCUAACACAUGCAAGUCGAGCGGAGCGGCGGACGGGUGAGUAAUACCUAGGAAUCUGCCUGGUAGUGGGGGAUAACGUUCGGCAACGGACGCUAAUACCGCAUACUAUCAGAUGAGCCUAGGUCGGAUUAGCUAGUUGGUGAGGUAAUGGCUCACCAAGGCUACGCUCCGUACCGGGUCUGAGAGGAUGAGCAGUCACACUGGAACUGAGACACUGUCCAGACUCCGACGGGAGGAAGAAGUGGGGAAGAUUGGACAAUGGGCGAAAGCCUGAGCCAGCCAUGCCGCGUGUGUGAAGAAGGUCUUCGGAUUGUAAAGUACUUUAAGGUGGGAGGCGUUACCGACAGAAUAAGCACCGGCUAACUCUGUGCCAGCAGCCGCGGUAAUAC